rnacentral:rRNA from 1 species
AUUGAACGCUGGCGGCAUGCCUUACACAUGCAAGUCGAACGGCAGCACGGGCUUCGGUCUGGUGGCGAGUGGCGAACGGGUGAGUAAAGUAUCGGAACGUGCCCUAGAGUGGGGGGAUAACGUAGCGAAAGUUACGCUAAUACCGCAUAUUCUAUGCGUAGGAAAGCGGGGGAUCUUCGGACCUCGCGCUCUAGGAGCGGCCGAUAUCAGAUUAGCUAGUUGGUGGGGUAAAGGCCUACCAAGGCGACGAUCUGUAGCGGGUCUGAGAGGAUGGUCCGCCACACUGGGACUGAGACACGGCCCAGACUCCUACGGGAGGCAGCAGUGGGGAAUUUUGGACAAUGGGCGCAAGCCUGAUCCAGCCAUGCCGCGUGAGUGAAGAAGGCCUU